UACGAAGGGGGCUAGCGUUGCUCGGAAUUACUGGGCGUAAAGGGCGCGUAGGCGGACAACUUAGUCAGAGGUGAAAUCCCAAGGCUCAACCUUGGAACUGCCUUUGAUACUGGAAAUCUUGAGUCCGGGAGAGGUGAGUGGAACUGCGAGUGUAGAGGUGAAAUUCGUAGAUAUUCGCAAGAACACCAGUGGCGAAGGCGGCUCACUGGCCCGGUACUGACGCUGAGGUGCGAAAGCAUGGGGAGCGAACAGG
rnacentral:rRNA from 1 species